rnacentral:lncRNA from 1 species
AAACAAGUCUAAACUAUAUCCAAAAUCAACUAAUAAAAGAUUUUUGCAAAACUAUUACAAGCCAAGUCAUUUUUUUUCUUUCAAAUUUCCAUAUUUAUAACCAAAAUAUAGAUAUUAGCAUCGAACAGAUAGAGAUAAGCAUUGAGCACAAAUUACAUAAAGGCUUGCUGUCAGGUUGAGGGCAUUUGGAAGUGCAUUGAGCACAAAUUGGGUAGCCACUGUUGGUGAAGAAAUGCGCUGACACAUGCAAGGCUGUGCAAUUAGCAACAUAAAUGUGCUGAAUGUGAGUUGAUGUUGUGCUGAUCUGAACACAUAUUUGCAAUUUUCACCCACACUUCUAUUUCAGAGCAAUUUAAAGACCAAGAAUUAGUGAAAAUAUGAAGAAUUUCAUUUACAAGAUAUUGAUAUAUACACAAGUUAAAUAUACGAAUUCCAGCUAUAAAUCUUACUAGAUUCAACAAUGUACUACACAUAAACUCAAUUCUCCACCUAUAUCUACAUGUGUAGAUUUAUCUCCUUGCAAGGCCCAUAAUGCUAACACAUAAUUUAACACUAACAGUCCAAACUACUUCAUUUAGUCUUCUAAAGCUUCAAUCAAGUAGAACUAUCCUGCCCCAUUUCUCUCCAGGACUAGAUUUGUAUGAAUUUCUGCAACUAGGUUUGUCAUAGCUUCUUCAACUCUCUUAGCUCAAGCUCUUGUCAUCAGACUACCAUGAAUCGCCAAUGAAUUACUUGUAUUUGGCUGGUCUUUUUUGGUCUCCAUCACUUAUGCAUGUUUUAAGGUUAUAAGCUAAAUGUCUAAUAUAACGCUAAUGGCACCUCCCUCCCCGUUGAGAACACUGAAGAGCUAGAACAAUGGCUCAUAACCUAAUUGAUACUUGUGUGUUUUUAUUUGCCAUUCGCUUCUGGCAUGAGAUCAAGCUUAAUCAUUUUUCUUCUUUAUAGCUGUGUAAGUUCACCUGUUUCUGUUCUUCUCUUACAUUUUUCUCUUGUCUUGUAAUUCUACAACACCAUUUGUUUGCAGUGCAGUCAACAACCUACCUAUGGGAUACCCUGUGCUACAGAAGUCUUCCAUUCCUGCAGCUGGUCAACCACAUCUUGACUCCAUGGGUAGUGGUAUAUCAAGUUGUCAUGUAGUUAAUGGAGUCCUGGCAUCAAGCAACUCCCAUCCCAUUAGAAUUUCCGGGAAUGGGUGAGAACUUGUCUGAUCCUACACGCUUCUUCUAUUUAGGCCUUGUGUUUUUCUAAUGGCUUUGUAUAGGUGGCAUUUGUAUUUCAUUUUGUCUUAAAUGUUUAAAAUGAUAGUUACUUGUUGUGCAUAAGUAGCAACUGGUUUUUAUCAAUGAACUGCUUAGUGGCUUGGUUGAUAAUGUGUUUCAUGCAUUAUGCUUAGAGUGUUGUGGUUGUUGUGUACUUAAAUGUUAGUUAAAUUGGUGGAACGUGGAACAACUUCCUUCCUCUUCCUUUAUAGUAAUUUGCUUGAUGGAAUAAUGGUAGCUGCUUUUAUCCUUCUUGAAGUAUGGUGAUGGACCACAGUGCUCCUGUUAUUCCACCAAAUAGUGCGAUGUCAUCCUUGUCAGAAAUGCCAGUGAGUCCGACAUCAGUAGCAUCCAAUGGUCAUUUCCCCUUCACUCCAUCAGAAAUAUCAGGAAUGGGCACCGAUACAUCUAUCCUUGAUACGGCAUUCACAUCUGAUGUGGCAAGCUCCGUAGGACUUCAACUUGCACCGGACAAUGGCACGGGGAUUUCCAGAUCCCUGGAUCAAAUUCAGUGGAAUUUUAGUCUAUCUGACUUAACAGCAGAUUUGUCAAACUUGGGAGGUAAAUUCGUUUCUUUGCUCUGAGAUCCAUUUGUAGAUAAAUAGUCAAAGUUAACGUAAUUGGAGGCCUUCUGGAAGUUAUUUGAGAUUUACAACUUUUGAUGAUUUUGAGAACUUUGGCUUUUGUUGUAAUUUUCUUUUUCUUUUUAAAUCUUUACCCUGUGUGGACGUCUUCGUGCUUUAUUUAUGAAUUAUCUUUCUAUGCAGAUCUAGGAGCUCUAGGAAACUAUCCUGGUUCACCAUUUAUGCAGUCUGAUUCAGAUAUUUUGCUUGAAUCAUCGGAUCAAAAGGACAUAGGUAAGUGUGCACACACGCACACACACAUGUUUAUAUGCAUGUAUGUCCUUUUUUUAAUCUUCAAAUUUUAUAAAUUUGGUGAAUGGUAUUGACUGAAAUAGAUUUAGAUGGCAAUCAAAAGGAUCUACAAAAUUAUGAGCCUCCACAAGUGUACAAGGUACUCCAUGGGAAAACAGUAAUGUCAAGGUUUGCUUUAAAAGAAGUGUUAGCGUCUUCUCACACACCUGGUUUACAGUCAUGAAAGAUUGCAGAAUAUAGAAUAUAGACUCUAUUCUGUAAAACCUUGUUAAGAGAAGCAAACAUUGAAAUAAAUUGAACUACAAAGCUAUAAUGUGAAAUACUUCACAAAGAAAUCAAGUCUAAAAAAUUUAAAUUAGGAGAGCAUAUGAAACCAUGGAGAAUUUGAUAAUUUGGAAAAGAUAGAAAUGAAGAUAUCAAAACCAGACCAAAAUUAACUAAUGAUGCAAAAAUUUAGAUAAUUAUCUUUUGUUCAAAAUGUAUCACCUUCCAUGCGUGCUCCUUGAGGAGCAGUGCAAGUGCGCGAGUGCUGAUUGAUUGUAUGCCUUUGCACCAAUAAAUGAGCUGACAAAAGGUUCAAUGUUUGAGGUAAAAUAUCGUUGGGUGGCAUAAAAGUCAUCAUACUCAUUGUCCUGCCUGCUUGGUUGUGCGUCAGAAAAGAUGGACGCAGAUCCAGCUGAAACAAGUUGUAAUAGCUUUUGCGUCAAUUUGAUGAGUUGGACGUGAAAACUUGGGAAUACAUGAG